CUGGGGCGGUCUCCUCCUAAAGAGUAACGGAGGAGCACGAAGGUUGGCUAAUCCUGGUCGGACAUCAGGAGGUUAGUGCAAUGGCAUAAGCCAGCUUGACUGCGAGCGUGACGGCGCGAGCAGGUGCGAAAGCAGGUCAUAGUGAUCCGGUGGUUCUGAAUGGAAGGGCCAUCGCUCAACGGAUAAAAGGUACUCCGGGGAUAACAGGCUGAUACCGCCCAAGAGUUCAUAUCGACGGCGGUGUUUGGCACCUCGAUGUCGGCUCAUCACAUCCUGGGGCUGAAGUAGGUCCCAAGGGUAUGGCUGUUCGCCAUUUAAAGUGGUACGCGAGCUGGGUUUAGAACGUCGUGAGACAGUUCGGUCCCUAUCUGCCGUGGGCGCUGGAGAAUUGAGGGGGGCUGCUCCUAGUACGAGAGGACCGGAGUGGACGCAUCACUGGUGUUCGGGUUGUCAUGCCAAUGGCACUGCCCGGUAGCUAAAUGCGGAAGAGAUAAGUGCUGAAAGCAUCUAAGCACGAAACUUGCCCCGAGAUGAGUUCUCCCUGACUCCUUGAGAGUCCUGAAGGAACGUUGAAGACGACGACGUUGAUAGGCCGGGUGUGUAAGCGCAGCGAUGCGUUGAGCUAACCGGUACUAAUGAACCGUGAGGCUUAACCUUACAACGCCGAAGGUGUUU
rnacentral:rRNA from 1 species